rnacentral:rRNA from 1 species
CCUACGGGGGGCAGCAGUGAGGAAUAUUGGUCAAUGGGCGCGAGCCUGAACCAGCCCAGUCGCGUGAGGGAAGACGGUCCUAUGGAUUGUACACCUCUUUUGUCGGGGAGCAAAAGACGCCACGCGUGGCGUUCCGAGAGUACCCGAAGAAAAAGCAUCGGCUACCUCCGUGCCAGCAGCCGCGGUAAUACGGAGGAGGCGAGCGUCAUCCGGAUUUCUUGGGUUGAAAGGGUGCGCAGGCGGAAGAUCAAGUCAGCGGUAAAAGUGAGAGGCACAAGCUCUUCGAGCCGUUGAAACUGGUUUUCUUGAGUGAGUGAGAAGUAUGCGGAAUGCGUGGUGUAGCGGUGAAAUGCAGCGAGAUCACGCAGAACUCCGAUUGCGAAGGCAGCAUACCGGCGCUCAACUGACGCUCAUGCACGAAAGUGUGGGUAUCGAACAGGAUUAGAGACCCCUGUAGUC